rnacentral:rRNA from 1 species
UACGGGGGGGCAAGCGUUGUUCGGAAUUACUGGGCGUAAAGGGCGCGUAGGCGGUUCGCUAAGUCGGAUGUGAAAACUCUGGGCUCAACCCAGAGCCUGCAUCCGAAACUGGCGGGCUAGAGUUCUGGAGGGGUAGCGGAAUUCCUGGUGUAGCGGUGAAAUGCGUAGAUAUCAUGAGGAAUACCAGAGGCGAAGGCGGCUACCUGGACAAUUGCUGACGCUCAGGCACGAAAGCGUGGGGAGCAAAAGGG